UACGGAGGGUGCGAGCGUUAUCCGGAAUUACUGGGUUUAAAGCGUGCGCAGGCGGUUUUGUAAGUCUGGCGUGAAAUCCCCGGGCUCAACCUGGGAAUUGCGUUGGAGACUGCAAGGCUGGAGUCUGGCAGAGGGGGGUAGAAUUCCACGUGUAGCAGUGAAAUGCGUAGAGAUGUGGAGGAACACCGAUGGCGAAGGCAGCCCCCUGGGUCAAGACUGACGCUCAUGCACGAAAGCGUGGGGAGCAAACAGG
rnacentral:rRNA from 1 species